UCGCAUCUGUGUUACCAACACGCUGUAUUCAAAGAAAACGCAGUAUGAUGAAGAAUAAACCUAUUGAACGGGAAAGCGCUGAUGUCAAGGAACAGGGGCAAGAGAGGCUAGUCAAUAAAAUCACGAUUAAACUAAUUUUGACUUCAACUUUCCUCCUGUCUCUCCCCCAACCAGUUGACCGGCAACCACCUUUCCCUAAUAGUUUGUUUCUGCAAGUCUCCACCCCCGGUUACAUGCUUUUUUUUUGCGAUUGACUGGACUCGACUCAAAUGAGUUGUUCAAUGUGAGAAUAGUCAAUGUUUUCAGAUUGUAGUGGGUAACUGUUUUCCAUUCCCAAACUGAUCUUACUACCCCCUUUACCAUUCCUAUACUGACCUUUCUGUCCUGGGCCUCCUCCAUUGCCGGAGUGAGGCCACUUGCAAGCACCUCAUAUUUUGUCUGGGUAGCUUACAACCCAACCAAAUGAACAUUGAAUUUUCCAAUUUUAUUUUAGUUUAUUAAUGUCACAUAUACUGAGGUAUAGUGAAAAGCUUUUGUGUGCCAGCUAUCCAAUCAAAGAAACAAUUAUAUAUGAAUACAAUCAAGCCGUCCUCAGAUAAAUGAUAAAGGGUACAACAUUUAGUUCACGAUAUGACAUUGAAGUCCGAUAAUGUCCAAUUGAAGAUAGUCAAAGUUCUCCAAUGAGGUAGAUGGGAGUUCAGGACUACACUCUAGCUGUCCAUGAGGAUAAUUUGGUUGCCUGGUAACAACUGGGAAGAAAUUGUCCCCGAGUCAGGAGCUGGUUACCAAGCUAACGGAACUGGGUCUCUGCGCAUCCCUCUGCAAUUGGAUCCUCAACUUCCUCAUCCACAGACCAGUCAGUUUGAAUUGGCAGAAACACUUCAUCCUCGGUAACAAUUAGUACGGGAACAUCUCAAGGCUGCGUGCUCAGCCCCGUGUUACUCAAUCUAUACCCAUGACUGUGUAGCUGGACAUGGUGCGAACUCUAUCAUCAAUGUUCGCCGACGACACCACUGUUGUUGGACGAAUCACAGAUGGUGAUGAAUCGGAGUACAGAAGUGAAAUCGACCGAUUGACCAAAUGGUGUCAGCACAACAACCUUACUCUCAACAUCAGUAAAACCAUGGAACUGAUUGCUGACUUUGGUAGGGGAAGGAUGAGGACCCACAAUCCUGUUUACAUCAAUGGGACAAUGAUGGAGAGCAUCAAAAACCUCAAAUUCCUGGGCGUGCAUAUUUCCGUAGAACUUACCUGGACCCAGCACACUGAUGCAUUUAUAAAGAACUCUACUUCCUGAGAAGAUUACGGAGAUUCAGCAUCUCAAAGAGGAUUCUCCUGAACCUUUACAGGUGCACAGUAGAGAGCAUACUGACUGGUUGCAUCGUGACCUGGAUCGGCAACUUGAACAUCCAGGAGCGGAAAAGACUGCAAAAAGUUGUGACCACUGCCCAGUCCAUCACCGACUUUGACCUCCCCACCAUCGAAGAGAUCUAUUGAAGUCGCUGCCGCAAAAAGGCAGCCAACAUCGUCAAAGACCCACACUAUCCUGGCCACAUACUCUUUUCACCAUUGCCAUCGGGAAGAAGUUACAGGAGCCUGAAAACUGUAACGUCCAGGUUCAGGAACAGCUACUUCCCUGCAGCCAUCAGGCUAUUAAACACAACAAAUAAGCUCUGAACUGCAACAGACUAUUAUUAUUAUUGCACUAUAUUUGUUAUUUAUUGAGUGUGUGUGCAUGUGUAUAUACACACUGAACUUUUUUUUCUUCUCCCGCUAUAUACUAUGAUUACACAUUCUGUUGUGCUGGAGCAAGUAAGAAUUUCAUUGUCCUAUCAGAGACAUUGACAAUAAAACAUUCUUGACUGUUAUCAAGCUUCUGAAUGGCCGUUCCAUAAGAUAGGCUACAGUUCGAUUCUCAUAUCUCAUUGCAAUUUGACUGUAUCUGGAACUAUUGCAUUACAAUACUGAAAAAUGUAUUCUACACUCUGGUGUCUUUCUCUUUGCUCUAUCUUUUGUAUUUAGCUUAAUUGUAUUUAGGUAUAUUAUUGUCUAAUCUGAUUGGAAAAGAUGCAAACAACUUUUCACAGUAUCUUGUACAUGUGACAAUACUGGUACACCAGUUAGUUCAGGGUGUCCAGAUGGGUUUGUUAGGUAGGUAGUACCUUUUUUCUUUAUAUAUUUUUUGUCCUAUGUGUAAAGUUUUAUUGUACAUUGAUUUAUUUAUUGAUUUGUUAGUUUGGCAAAUGUUUUUUAUUGUAUUUUGAGUACAGCGGAUAUUCACAGGCUAACCAGAGCAAGAAACAAAAAUGGUAUAGAAAGCAACUAGUAGAUUACACAACGUGGUAUAAUGGCUAAUUUAAAGAUAGUAAGUUAUAACGUCCACGGUUUAAAUCACCCCAUAAAGAGGAGAAAAAUUCUGAGCCAACUCAAAAAUUUAGGAUGUGGAGUUGCAUUGAUUUAGGAAACGCAUCUGGUGGAAACUGAACAUAACAAGCUUAGAAGAGAGUGGUUCGGUGAGGUAUUUAGUGCCUCCUAUAGGAAAAGGAGAGGAAUGGCUAUCCUUUUCAAUAGAAAUGUAGUUUUCUCUGUGGAAAAAGUACUCCAAGAUACAUUGGGGAGAUAUGUAAUGGUAAUUGGUACAAUAAGUGGGAUGGCAGUAUCGAUAAUAAAUAUUUAUGCACCAACAGAA